rnacentral:rRNA from 1 species
UACAGAGGUCUCGAGCGUUGUUCGGAUUCAUUGGGCGUAAAGGGUGCGUAGGUGGCGUGGUAAGUCUGGUGUGAAAUCCCGGGGCUCAACCCCGGACUGCACUGGAUACUGCCAUGCUUGAGUACUGGAGAGGAGAUUGGAAUUUACGGUGUAGCAGUGAAAUGCGUAGAUAUCGUAAGGAAGACCAGUGGCGAAGGCGACUCUUUGGCCUGUAACUGACGCUGAGGCGCGAAAGCGUGGGGAGCAAACAGG